AGUGAACGCUGGCGGUAGGCCUAACACAUGCAAGUCGAACGGCAGCACAGUAAGAGCUUGCUCUUACGGGUGGCGAGUGUCGGACCGGUGCGGAAUACAUCGGAGUCUACUUUUUAGUGGGGGAUAACGUAGGGAAACUUACGCUAAUACCGCAUACGACCUACGGGUGAAAGCAGGGGAUCUUCGGACCUUGCGCGAUUGAAUGAGCCGAUGUCGGAUUAGCUAGUUGGCGGGGUAAAGGCCCACCAAGGCGACCAUCCGUACCUGGUCUGAGAGGAUGAUCAGCCACACUGGAACUGAGACACGGUCCAGACUCCUACGGGAGGCAGCAGUGGGGAAUAUUGGACAAUGGGGGCAAGCCUGAUCCAGCCAUACCGCGUGGGUGAAGAAGGCCUUCGGGUUGUAAAGCCCUUUUGUUGGGAAAGAAAAGCAGCAGGUUAAUACCCCGCUGUUCUGACGGUACCCAAAGAAUAAGCACCGGCUAACUUCGUG
rnacentral:rRNA from 1 species